UACGUAGGUGGCAAGCGUUAUCCGGAUUUAUUGGGCGUAAAGGGAACGCAGGCGGUCUUUUAAGUCUUAUGUGAAAGCCUUCGGCUUAACCGGAGUAGUGCAUUGGAAACUGGGAGACUUGAGUGCAGAAGAGGAGGGUGGAACUCCAUGUGUAGCGGUGGAAUGCGUAGAUAUAUGGAAGAACACCAGUGGCGAAGGCGGCUCUCUGGUCUGCAACUGACGCUGAGGCUCGAAAGCAUGGGUAGCGAACAGG
rnacentral:rRNA from 1 species